CUGAAUUGUAGUUCCUUCUGAAGUAGGAGAUAAUGCAACUUUAAGGAGGAGGCAAAGCUGUUCUGACUAUUUUACAGUCUCUUGGGACACAGACCCAGAUUUUAGACAGAGGAUUUUUGAAGAGGCCCCGGGAGUUUCUUCAAUCCCAAUGGAAGAGGAAAGAAGCAAAUGGCAGCUAUAGCUGAAGCCUGGAAUCUUGGGUCUAAAAUACAGAAGACAAUAAGUAGAUCGAGUCCAGUUCUUCAUCCGAGUCCUCAAAGCAGCAGCGCAAGAACCGGGGUAGUGGCAAACCUAGUGAAACCACCAGACAGUGGCCCUCUGGACCUCUUCACAGACUCACUUGGUAAAGAUUAAGGAAGCAACUGCCAGUUGGAAACAGUGUGUUUGUUGAAAAGUAGUAGAACUUUCCAUAGAAAGAAAUACCAAUUUUGAAGAUUUUUCUUGUGCAUUCAAUACUAAGGGCUUUUCAUCCAGAGCUUAAAGACAAGAGAGACAACUAUGAAUUGAAAAAAGUCAUCUAAGUAAGAUAUUAUAAGAUGUAGUUCAUUUUAAAUUUAGCUAAAAUAAUUUCAAUUGUAAGGAUUUAUGGGACUUGUGUAUCACAUGUCCUGACCAACGCACAAGAAAAAAAAAAUCAUAUUCCACUUUAAUGAAAUCACAAAACAUUUCCUUGACAUUUGAUCCUGUUGCCUAAUAGCACUGUCUCAUCUUAUAGGCAACUUAGCUAAUGGUGGUGUAAUCAGAGAUGGCUCUUACACCACAUGAGUUGGAAAUAUAACAGUUAAGAAUGUAACAUCCACAUUUUCCACUUAAAUUUUGUCAUUAUAUUUUGAAGUAUCAACAUUGAAAAAGUGGUUUAAAAAAGAAUAGGAACUAUAGUGAAGUGACUUACGCUACUGAAAUAGAAUUAACAGUAAAAAUAAUUAUGAAUAUACAACUUCAAUGGAGCUGACACAUUCACUUAUAACAGUUUAAUGCCAUGCAUUAGAAAUUUCUACCAUUGUAUUUAAUUGCUGUAGUUAACAGAAUAGAAAAUAAAAGCUUUAAUCAGAGUUCUAACA
ensembl:lncRNA